CAGAUUGCAGGCUGCAACCCGCCUGCAUGAAGUCGGAAUUGCUAGUAAUCGCGGAUCAGCAUGCCGCGGUGAAUACGUUCCCGGGCCUUGUACACACCGCCCGUCACACCAUGGGAGCCGGUAAUACCCGAAGUCAGUAGUCCAACCUCGUGAGGACGCUGCCGAAGGUAGGAUUGGCGACUGGGGUGAAGUCGUAACAAGGUAUC
rnacentral:rRNA from 1 species